rnacentral:lncRNA from 1 species
AUGGCAAAAAGCAGUAGGAGGAGAAGAGGAAAAGAUCAGAUGGAAAGAGUCAGCAGCAUGUCUCCUGUGUCCGGCUCAGAACUUGAACCCUUCUACAGAGAUCAUGCCUGCCUGGGCAUCUUGGAUUGCCAGCCUUGUGACCAACAGAAGCUCCACGCUACCUCAGGACCAUCCUUCUGAUCGGACCUCUUCUCCACGCUCCCUGACAGUGGACCAGACCAGUAUG